UGCCCUUUGGCCUGGAAUAACACGAGGAAACUUGUGCUAAUACCGGAUAAGUCUUUACGGAGAAAGCUUUAUGCACCAUUGGAUGAGCCUGCACUUGAUUAGUUUGUUGGUGGGGUAAUGGCCUACCAAGACUGUGAUCAAUAGCUGAUUUGAGAGGAUGAUCAGCCACAUUGGGACUGAGACACGGCCCAAACUCCUACGGGAGGCAGCAGUGGGGAAUCUUGCACAAUGGAGGAAACUCUGAUGCAGCGAUGCCGCGUGAGUGAAGAAGGCCCUUGGGUUGUAAAGCUCUUUCGUCGGGGAAGAAAAUGACUGUACCCGAAUAAGAAGGUCCGGCUAACUUCGUGCCAGCAGCCGCGGUAAUACGAAGGGACCUAGCGUAGUUCGGAAUUACUGGGCUUAAAGAGUUCGUAGGUGGUUGAAAAAGUUAGUGGUGAAAUCCCAGAGCUUAACUCUGGAACUGCCAUUAAAACUUUUCAGCUAGAGUAUGAUAGAGGAAAGCAGAA
rnacentral:rRNA from 1 species